rnacentral:rRNA from 1 species
AGCGAACGCGGGCGGCAGGCUUAACACAUGCAAGUCGAGCGGGCGUAGCAAUACGUCCGCGGCAGACGGGUGAGUAACGCGUGGGAACGUACCUUUUGGUUCGGAACAACACAGGGAAACUUGUGCUAAUACCGGAUAAGCCCUUACGGGGAAAGAUUUAUCGCCGAAAGAUCGGCCCGCGUCUGAUUAGCUAGUUGGUGAGGUAACGGCUCACCAAGGCGACGAUCAGUAGCUGGUCUGAGAGGAUGAUCAGCCACAUUGGGACUGAGACACGGCCCAAACUCCUACGGGAGGCAGCAGUGGGGAAUAUUGGACAAUGGGGGCAACCCUGAUCCAGCCAUGCCGCGUGAGUGAUGAAGGCCCUAGGGUUGUAAAGCUCUUUUGUGCGGGAAGAUAAUGACGGUACCGCAAGAAUAAGCCCCGGCUAACUUCGUG